rnacentral:rRNA from 1 species
ACUAAGCGUACACGGUGGAUGCCCUGGCAGUCAGAGGCGAUGAAGGACGUGCUAAUCUGCGAAAAGCGUCGGUAAGGUGAUAUGAACCGUUAUAACCGGCGAUGUCCGAAUGGGGAAACCCAGUGUGAUUCGUCACACUAUCGUUAACUGAAUACAUAGGUUAACGAGGCGAACCGGGGGAACUGAAACAUCUAAGUACCCCGAGGAAAAGAAAUCAACCGAGAUUCCCCCAGUAGCGGCGAGCGAACGGGGAGCAGCCCAGAGUCUGAAUCAGCUUGUGUGUUAGUGGAACGGUCUGGAAAGUCCGACGGUACAGGGUGAUAGUCCCGUACACCAAAAUGCACAGGUUGUGAACUCGAAGAGUAGGGCGGGACACGUGGUAUCCUGUCUGAAUAUGGGGGGACCAUCCUCCAAGGCUAAAUACUCCUGACUGACCGAUAGUGAACCAGUACCGUGAGGGAAAGGCGAAAAGAACCCCGGCGAGGGGAGUGAAAAAGAACCUGAAACCGUGUACGUACAAGCAGUGGGAGCACCUUCGGGUGUGACUGCGUACCUUUUGUAUAAUGGGUCAGCGACUUAUAUUCUGUAGCAAGGUUAACCGUAUAGGGGAGCCGCAGGGAAACCGAGUCUUAACUGGGCGUUAAGUUGCAGGGUAUAGACCCGAAACCCGGUGAUCUAGCCAUGGGCAGGUUGAAGGUUGGGUAACACUAACUGGAGGACCGAACCGACUAAUGUUGAAAAAUUAGCGGAUGACUUGUGGCUGGGGGUGAAAGGCCAAUCAAACCGGGAGAUAGCUGGUUCUCCCCGAAAGCUAUUUAGGUAGCGCCUCGUGAACUCAUCUUCGGGGGUAGAGCACUGUUUCGGCUAGGGGGUCAUCCCGACUUACCAACCCGAUGCAAACUACGAAUACCGAAGAAUGUUAUCACGGGAGACACACGGCGGGUGCUAACGUCCGUCGUGAAGAGGGAAACAACCCAGACCGCCAGCUAAGGUCCCAAAGUCAUGGUUAAGUGGGAAACGAUGUGGGAAGGCACAGACAGCCAGGAUGUUGGCUUAGAAGCAGCCAUCAUUUAAAGAAAGCGUAAUAGCUCACUGGUCGAGUCGGCCUGCGCGGAAGAUGUAACGGGGCUAAACCAUGCACCGAAGCUGCGGCAGCGACACUAUGUGUUGUUGGGUAGGGGAGCGUUCUGUAAGCCUGCGAAGGUGUGCUGUGAGGCAUGCUGGAGGUAUCAGAAGUGCGAAUGCUGACAUAAGUAACGAUAAAGCGGGUGAAAAGCCCGCUCGCCGGAAGACCAAGGGUUCCUGUCCAACGUUAAUCGGGGCAGGGUGAGUCGACCCCUAAGGCGAGGCCGAAAGGCGUAGUCGAUGGGAAACAGGUUAAUAUUCCUGUACUUGGUGUUACUGCGAAGGGGGACGGAGAAGGCUAUGUUAGCCGGGCGACGGUUGUCCCGGUUUAAGCAUGUAGGCUGAUUGUCCAGGCAAAUCCGGAUAAUCAAGGCUGAGGUGUGAUGACGAGGCACUACGGUGCUGAAGUAACAAAUGCCCUGCUUCCAGGAAAAGCCUCUAAGCAUCAGGUAACAUCAAAUCGUACCCCAAACCGACACAGGUGGUCAGGUAGAGAAUACCAAGGCGCUUGAGAGAACUCGGGUGAAGGAACUAGGCAAAAUGGUGCCGUAACUUCGGGAGAAGGCACGCUGGUGUGUAGGUGAAGUCCCUGCGGAUGGAGCUGAGACCAGUCGAAGAUACCAGCUGGCUGCAACUGUUUAUUAAAAACACAGCACUGUGCAAACACGAAAGUGGACGUAUACGGUGUGACGCCUGCCCGGUGCCGGAAGGUUAAUUGAUGGGGUUAUCCGUAAGGAGAAGCUCUUGAUCGAAGCCCCGGUAAACGGCGGCCGUAACUAUAACGGUCCUAAGGUAGCGAAAUUCCUUGUCGGGUAAGUUCCGACCUGCACGAAUGGCGUAAUGAUGGCCAGGCUGUCUCCACCCGAGACUCAGUGAAAUUGAACUCGCUGUGAAGAUGCAGUGUACCCGCGGCAAGACGGAAAGACCCCGUGAACCUUUACUAUAGCUUGACACUGAACAUUGAGCCUUGAUGUGUAGGAUAGGUGGGAGGCUUUGAAGCGUGGACGCCAGUCUGCGUGGAGCCAACCUUGAAAUACCACCCUUUAAUGUUUGAUGUUCUAACGUUGGCCCCUUACCGGGGUUGCGGACAGUGUCUGGUGGGUAGUUUGACUGGGGCGGUCUCCUCCCAAAGCGUAACGGAGGAGCACGAAGGUUAGCUAAUCCUGGUCGGACAUCAGGAGGUUAGUGCAAUGGCAUAAGCUAGCUUGACUGCGAGCGUGACGGCGCGAGCAGGUGCGAAAGCAGGUCAUAGUGAUCCGGUGGUUCUGAAUGGAAGGGCCAUCGCUCAACGGAUAAAAGGUACUCCGGGGAUAACAGGCUGAUACCGCCCAAGAGUUCAUAUCGACGGCGGUGUUUGGCACCUCGAUGUCGGCUCAUCACAUCCUGGGGCUGAAGUAGGUCCCAAGGGUAUGGCUGUUCGCCAUUUAAAGUGGUACGCGAGCUGGGUUUAGAACGUCGUGAGACAGUUCGGUCCCUAUCUGCCGUGGGCGCUGGAGAAUUGAGGGGGGCUGCUCCUAGUACGAGAGGACCGGAGUGGACGCAUCACUGGUGUUCGGGUUGUCAUGCCAAUGGCACUGCCCGGUAGCUAAAUGCGGAAGAGAUAAGUGCUGAAAGCAUCUAAGCACGAAACUUGCCCCGAGAUGAGUUCUCCCUGAGACUUUAAGUCUCCUGAAGGAACGUUGAAGACGACGACGUUGAUAGGCCGGGUGUGUAAGCGCAGCGAUGCGUUGAGCUAACCGGUACUAAUGAACCGUGAGGCUUAACC